rnacentral:sRNA from 1 species
AUUCGAUGAUGAGGGCAUUGGAUGCAUAAUAACUCAAAUCUUUCCCAAUACUCAACAAGUGUCUAAUCCCACAUAUUUCUUUUCUUAUAUU